UUACUUUGGAUCCGAACUCUUCAAUCCUGAUGCUGCAAGGUACUGAACUCCUAAGCCGUGUGGAUUUGGAAAGUUUUGCUGGUGAAUUGAAAUUUUAGAUACCAAGCAAUUACUACUUCCACUAAAAAGCUUAAAAAAAAUUGAAAACCCAACUUCCAAAACCACUACAAAGUA